CAAAAAAUAGUUUAUAAAAAUAAUAAUUUUGGAGAUUAUUGAUAAAGGAUCACCUUUUUUUUUGA
rnacentral:tRNA from 1 species